GCAUAUCAAUAAGCGGAGGAAAAGAAACCAACAGGGAUUGCCUCAGUAACGGCGAGUGAAGCGGCAACAGCUCAAAUUUGAAAUCUGGCGCUUUCAGCGUCCGAGUUGUAAUUUGUAGAGGAUGUUUCGGCCACGACCCCGGGUUAAAUUUCUUGGAACAGAAUGUCAUAGAGGGUGAGAACCCCGUCUUGACCCGGGCGUACGAGCCGUGUGGAACUCCUUCGACGAGUCGAGUUGUUUGGGAAUGCAGCUCAAAAUGGGUGGUAAAUUUCAUCUAAAGCUAAAUAUUGGCCAGAGACCGAUAGCGCACAAGUAGAGUGAUCGAAAGAUGAAAAGCACUUUGAAAAGAGAGUUAAACAGUAUGUGAAAUUGUUGAAAGGGAAGCGCUUACAACCAGACUUGAGCGCGACGGUUCCCCCUUGCUUCUGCCUGGGUUAUUCCGUCGUGUCCAGGCCAACAUCGGUUUCGGGGGUUGGUUAAAGGCUUAGGGAAUGUAUCUACCCCUCGGGGUCGACUUAUAGCCCUAGGUGUCAUGCAACCUCCCGGGACCGAGGAACGCGCUUCGGCUCGGAUGUUGGCGUAAUGGUUGUCAGCGACCCGUCUUGAAACACGGACCAAGGAGUCUAACAUCUAUGCGAGUGUUAGGGUGUCAAACCCUUACGCGGAAUGAAAGUGAACGGGGUAGGAAGCCUUAAGGCUGCACUAUCGACCGAUCCUGAAGUUUACGGAUGGAUUUGAGUAAGAGCAUAGCUGUUGGGACCCGAAAGAUGGUGAACUAUGCGUGAAUAGGGUGAAGCCAGAGGAAACUCUGGUGGAGGCUCGCAGCGGUUCUGACGUGCAAAUCGAUCGUCAAAUUUGCGUAUAGGGGCGAAAGACUAAUCGAACCAUCUGGUAGCUGGUUCCUGCCGA
rnacentral:rRNA from 1 species